UAUUAAUGUCAUUCUCUUUCAGAAAUAUCAAGCAAGAGAAACCUAGCUCCAAUGGAAAACAAGGAUAAUGAAGCUCCCAUCACCUGCACUUACGAUGAUUUUGAACCCAUGUGCAAGUGGCGAAGAGAGGAAGGAUGUGACUUGCUUGAGGUCCAUGGUCUCCAAGAUUUCGAAAGGGAACAACUCAAAGUUAGAAUAAACCUUGGCACUACUCUAGUCAUAACCGGAGAACGCCCUCUGAAGAAUAAUAUCAGAAGUCGUUUUCGGAAGGAAAUCAAAAUCUCCAAGCAUUGCGAAAUAGAUGAAAUUCGUGUGAAGUUUGGCACAGCAGGAAUUCUUCAUGUAUCACUGCCUAAGAAAACAUCCAAAAAAAUAAGCAAUAGUGGAGAUGUCAAUGCAAGUUUGCCAUCAAAUUACCUAAUUGGCCUAGAAAGUUCGACUUGCUGCAGACUAAAAUUGGCUGCGCAAGGUAUGGCUGUGGUAGUAUUUGCCAUGGCUAUUGCAGCAUUUGCAUACAAACCGCGUCGUUGUGUUCAAGUUGAAAGCUAAUCAUAUUAAUAUUUCUUCUGUAUAUAUAAUCUAAUUGUUGA
rnacentral:misc_RNA from 1 species